rnacentral:siRNA from 1 species
CAAAUCUGUACACCACUGUGCA